CCAAGGAGUCUAACAUGUGCGCGAGUCACUCGGUCUUGAAUAGGCCAGAGAGGCGCAAUGAAAGUAAAGUUGAUUGAGUUACGAUCCCCAUGCAGUCACUCGUAUGGGUGACGGUGGGGCGCAGUAACAGCCCGCCAAUUUCGCUUAUUGACGAUAUGGCGGAGUUGUAGCGUACACGUUGGUACCCGAAAGAUGGUGAACUAUGCCUGGGCAAGACGAAGCCAGAGGAAACUCUGGUGGAGGUCUGUAGCGAUUCUGACGUGCAAAUCGAUCGUCAGACCUGGGUAUAGGGGCGAAAGACUAAUCGAACCAUC
rnacentral:rRNA from 2 species